GCUCUAGAUCGUAACAAAUGAUCGUAAUAUAAAAUGUAUUUUUAUCAGUAAUGGUAAUGUCAACAAUAGUUUUAUGAAAUUAUACAUAAAUACUGCUAUAAUAUCCUAGAUAUUGUAGUAAUUUCUUCUUUAACUGGGACUAUAUUUCUUAAUGCGAAUAAAGGCAUGAUAGUAUGAUAGUAGAACGGUGUUCAAUAAAACAAGUAUUCCUAAGCACACUAACUUAGCACCGUAUAGUCACUGGCACGCUAUACUCAUAUUUAUUUAAAAAAUAAUAUGUCUUAUAUUCUAAUAGAUACAUCUUUAUAACUUUACUGGUCAUAUAAACUUUCCUUAAAAGAUAUACUAAAUAUUAUAUGAGAUACUUUUA
rnacentral:lncRNA from 1 species